AUGAGGCUUUGCCCUCCGGGGCCGGGAAAGCUCCGCGGAGCAGCCGGGUUGGGGGAGGGGGCGCCGGAGCCGAGGAGCCUCCCCGGCAUCCCGCCCCCCCCGCCGCGGCCCCGGCCCUCGGCCCUCGGCCCCGCGCGGCCGCCCCCGCCCCCGCCCCAGGGUCACGUUCGGGAGGGGGCCGUGGGAGCCGUGACGGGGGCGCCGCGAGCGCGGAGAUGGAGGCGGCGGGCCGGGGUGCGGGGACGGCGGGGCUGCGGCGCGGGCCCCCGGGACGCCGGGGUCAACUCACCCAUCGCCCGCUGGGUCUCAGCGGCGGCGGCAGCAGCGGCGGCGGCGGCUCCGCGGCCCCCGGGGCCCCCGGCGGGGAGAUGCUGGCGUCCGCCGCAGCCUCUCGCCCCAUCCCGGGCUCCGGCGGCGGCUGCGGCGGGCGCCCGGCAUCGCGGGCGGCGCGGCCCCGGCCCGGCCCCGAUCCCCGCCCCCCGCCCCCACCUCCACCCCGUCCCGCGGGCCCGGCGCGGCCGCCUGGCUGCACCCCGGGGCCGCGGCUGGGGGCCGGCGAGCGGACGGGCGCGGGGGAGGGCCCCCUGGAGGCGCGCGGCGGCGGGGGGUGCGGAGGCGAGGCCCGGGCGCGGCGCGCAGAGGUGCCGGCUCCCGCCCGACUCGCCGCUCCGGCCCCCGCCCCGCCCCCACCCCCGCCCCCGCCCCCACCGGAGCCCCCUCCCCUCCGCCGCCCGCCGCCCGCCGCGCUCCGCUCGCCGCGCGGGGCCGGGGGCGCCUCGGGCCGCAGUCUCGGGCCGCCGCCGCUCCGCGCCUCCCGCGUGUGCGAUCAAAUGUGUGUGUGUGCGCGCCCCUGCCUGUGACCGUGCGUGCGCCGGCCCACGGCCCGGUGCGUCCUGGGCGGUUGUGUGUGCGAGGGGAGGCGGGGCGGGUCAGAGAGUGUGUGUCUGUCUGGCGUGUGCACGGUCUGCGCGUCCGCUUCUGUACGUGCGUGGAUGUGUGCGUCUGGGUUGUGCAGUGUGCACGGGACUGUGUGACCUCCAGUCCCGGGGAGUGCAUGGGCGUGCACAGCUGCGCUAUGGUGUGUGCGUGGAGCCGGCGGCUGUGCCUGCGUGUGCCUGGACUGUGCCAGUGUGCACAAAUCUGUGA
rnacentral:lncRNA from 1 species